UAGCACUGAAUGGCCUCCUACCAUUUGU
rnacentral:piRNA from 1 species